UGUUUAACAGAAAUUCACUCAUUUGCUUGAAGGUUAAAGACUACAUGAGACUUUGACAGAUGGCGGGAAACCCUCAUCCACUGGUAGAGGAAUGUCUGCGACUAAGCCGAGGGCCACUGGAUAAGGGUUGUUGAUGGUAAAACAGGUAGAGGAAUGUCUGCGACUAAGCCGAGGGCCACUGGAUAAGGGUUGUUGAUGGUAAAACAGGUAGAGGAAUGUCUGCGACUAAGCCGAGGGCCACUGGAUAAGGGUUGUUGAUGGUAAAACAGGUAGAGGAAUGUCUGCGACUAAGCCGAUGGCCACUGGAUAAGGGUUGUUGAUGGUAAAACAGGUUAAAGACUACAUGAGACUUUGACAGAUGGCGGGAAACCCUAAUCCACUGGUACGAACCCGGUAAAUUGAUGGCUGUAAAACAGUGACCGCUGAUUCGCAUCGAGUUCUUUCUUGCAAAACGCAUGACCCCCCUUUUUUAUUGUCUAAAUCAUUGCGGCUUGGAAUGCUCUUUAAGAAAAGGUAUGGUUAUGGGGGUCUCUAUGCGCAAAAGUUUGACUUUAUUUUGUGUUGAAGUUAUUGCUUUUACAUUGAAUUUGUGUAGGAAAUCUUUUGGUAUAUUGUAACCAUAAUAGUUGAAAUACGAAGA